GUAAGUGAUACUGUUAUCUCAGACUUUUAGCCAGAGGCAUAGCCAGGCCCAAAAGUCUGGUUCCAGAAAAUAAACUGCAGUCUCCUGCAAUGUCCUGCUGCGAGUCCUGAGGGACUUGCUCUUGUUCUUGCAGACCUUCCACAUCUGAGCAUCUCCGGCUUCAUGAAUUGGUGCAUUUCAACUCCCUAAAAAUUCCUCCCUUCUCACUGCAGGUACUGGUGCAAGAGGAGCCCCUGCAUUCUCUGCUCAGCCCUGUGCUCCAGGAGGUCUUUGCCACCAUCACUGUCCUCAGUUACCAAGAUGUUCACUUGCUGUUUGGCUCUGAAGAUCAAGCUGACCUGUUCAGUCUCAUCACCAGAAGAAUAGUCAGUCUGCCCUCUGUAAGUCUUGCCCAGCUGGGGGAAAGCGUGGCAAGCAGGCCCUCCAACCCAGAGGUAACUCACACUUUGUAUCAGUCACUUCCUAUUCACAGAGUCAGUGGAUCCUAGCCUCUCAAGAAGGUUUGAUUUUUAUAUUUUUGGUACUGGGGGUCAAAUUCGGAUCCUUGUGCUUGCAGAGCAGGUGGCGGCACCACUGAGCUAAAUCCCCAGUCCAAGAGUGCUUGACUUUUUGAAACUAGCCAAAACCAUUCAAGCUAGGUCUGGUGAAUAAAAUAGGUAGUUAAAUUAGAUAAUAGCCCAAAUUUUGUUUCAUUUUCCCUUUACUCCUUUUUUUUUUUUUUAACUUUGGCUUUAUAAUAAGAUGGGAGUAUCCAUUCAUAGAUUUUACAUUUAAGGCCACCAUGAGCUAAGCAUUGUGAUGGGCAGUAGGAAUGUGGAAAUACACACAUACUCUCAUUGUGGUGCUUACAUUCAUAUGCAAAGAGAUAAGCCACUGAUAAAUAAGCACCUCCAAUGGUAAUUAGUGUUGUGUUAUGAAGAAAGUUCUGAUCCCCUCUCUGGAAACAAAAAAAAAGAAGAAAAAGAAAAGUAAAGCAGAGACAGGGGAAAGAGUGUAGUGUGGUUGGGAGGAAUCGGGGCCUCUUUCCAUAGCGCGGUCUGGGAAAGCCUUCUAAUGGAGUCAGAGUUGAAAGAAGAGAAGGAAGCUUCCAGGCAGACCAGGAGUAAGUGUAGAGGCCUUGAUUUUAUUCUGUGGCUGCCAAAGCAAUUACUAAAGAAGAUAUAUUCUCCUGUGGUUCAUGAUGUCAGAAAGAGUCACAAAUCAACUUUUUUAAAGUACUGUAUCUUGAUAACCCUUAAAUAGUUCCUCAGCAGUCGUUAGAAUCAGGUAACUAUCAUCGCAGUCAUACCUGGGUGUCUGUUUGAAAUGAGGAUGCCCGGGUCCAUCCCAUGCCGUAUGCUGUGUACCGGUACUUUGAUGCUAGUUCUGCAGCUUUGACUAAAGUCUUUAAAAAGAGAGCCUUUAAAGGGCCAGGGACUUAGCUCAGUUGUUCUGCUGCUUGCAGGCACAAGGACCCGAGUUCUAUCUCCAGUAUCGAAAAAAAAAAAAAAAUGCUUAAAAGCGCACAGCCCUGAGAAACUUCUUGGGCUGAGGGCAUUGUUGAUCUGUGCCUUUUCAGUGUCUCUACAGGCAGACGUUCCAGGCAUUCUCUGAGAUGCUCCAGAGUUUGGUCGUGAAAGACCCACAUUUGGAAAAAUUUGAUGCCAUUUUUAAGGUAAAAAAAAAUAUUGAGGAAGAAGGGGAAACUAUUCCUAUUCAUUGGAGAGAGUGGAAGAAGAAAAUGUGGAAAGAUUAGAUUGCAGGAGGCAGUUAAUACAGCUGAGAGUAUCAGCCAUGAAUUUUGAGUCCUAGGCUUUAGGCUCAAAUCCUGACUGCUGCUCAUUGGUUACAAGUCCUUCUGCUAUAAAAUCUGCAUUGAUCUGGGCAUGGUGGCACACGCCUAUAAUCCCACCUCUCCAGAGGCUGAGGCAAGAGGAUC
rnacentral:lncRNA from 1 species